CCUACGGGGCGCAGCAGUGGGGAAUAUUGGACAAUGGGCGAAAGCCUGAUCCAGCCAUGCCGCGUGUGUGAAGAAGGCCUUCGGGUUGUAAAGCACUUUCAGUGGGGAAGAAAGCCUUGGGGCUAAUACCCUCGAGGAAGGACAUCACCCACAGAAGAAGCACCGGCUAACUCCGUGCCAGCAGCCGCGGUAAUACGGAGGGUGCGAGCGUUAAUCGGAAUUACUGGGCGUAAAGCGCGGUAGGCGGUCUGAUAAGCCGGUUGUGAAAGCCCCGGGCUCAACCUGGGAACGGCAUCCGGAACUGUCAGGCUAGAGUGCAGGAGAGGAAGGUAGAAUUCCCGGUGUAGCGGUGAAAUGCGUAGAGAUCGGGAGGAAUACCAGUGGCGAAGGCGGCCUUCUGGACUGACACUGACGCUGAGGUGCGAAAGCGUGGGUAGCAAACAGGAUUAGAUACCCCUGUAGUC
rnacentral:rRNA from 1 species